rnacentral:rRNA from 1 species
UACGAAGGGGGCUAGCGUUGCUCGGAAUCACUGGGCGUAAAGCGCACGUAGGCGGAUUGCUAAGUCAGGGGUGAAAUCCUGGAGCUCAACUCCAGAACUGCCUUUGAUACUGGCGGUCUCGAGUCCGGGAGAGGUGAGUGGAACUGCGAGUGUAGAGGUGAAAUUCGUAGAUAUUCGCAAGAACACCAGUGGCGAAGGCGGCUCACUGGCCCGAUACUGACGCUGAUGCACGAAAGCGUGGGGAGCAAACAGG